GGGCUUCCCGCGGUGGCCCUGACGUGUCGGUCCCCUUUCAUCUAAACGCAUUCUGGAGUCCCGGGCGCCACAGGACGGGCUGCGGGUAGGGAGGUGUGGCGCGUCCAAGGGCUUCCCAGCUGGAACUUGCUUUCCGUAAGUUACUCAGAGCAAGUAUCAACCCCAAAGACAGUGACACUGUCCCUCGCUUCCAAAAGGGCUCUGGGCACCUUCUCAAGGAGAGUUUGUAAAGGUCACUUGGAUCUAAGAGAUGGAGACCUGAGCCAGGGCUUAGGAAUGGGAGUCUUGGCUUUGUUAUCCGGGAAAAGCGCUCGUGCAUUGCUUUUCCUUGCAUCAGACGUGGUGUGACAGAUUGUGCCAUUUCAGAAAGGUGUAGGACAGAGUGUCAAAGACUUUUUUUUUUUUUUUUAAUGAUCAUUGUACUUCCCACCCCAGAUGCCGUCUGGGACGCUGAGUUUAUGAUUAUUUUAUGUUCCGACCCUCCGCUUUCUCCAGAGCGCUACCCCCUAGACAUUGAGUCCUCGGGUGCUGUGGUGCUGUGUUCCUGUCAUGAAGUUUACUGGUUAAUAGAACGUCAUGAGAGAACUGCCUCCCUCCCUACCGUCCGGCUAACAUGCUCAAGCAGGGGACACGGUGGCCUUUGCUUGUAACAUGAAUGCUAGGAAUGUUAGGGAAGCGGUGAGAAGGGUCGUGCCAGCUGCCCUCACCUAGGCAGUUCUCCCCUGUGCCACGCUUUUCACACUUACAGUUUCAGGUUCUUUUAGGGGACAGAAGAGGAAGUCAUCAUCACGCUUCGCAAGGCAAGCUAUUAAAAAAGCAAAACAAUCUCAGCCUAGCGGUAACCCACAGUGACCUGUAUGUGAGCACUCGUUGAACCGAUGGAUAGGCUCAGAAACACAAUGGUAUUGACAGGCCAGGCGUGGUGGCUCACACCUGCAAUCCCAGCACUUUGGGAGGCCGAGGCCGGCGGAUCACUUGAGUACAGGGCUCAUCAGCACAUGGUAAUUAACAAUGAUGGACAUGGCUUCCUGGCACUCUCUGCAUGCCAGGCACUGUUCGCAGUGCUUUAAUCCACAAAACAGCUUUGUAAGUACUGCUAUUGUCUCCAUUUUACUUGUGAGGAAAUAGAAGCACAAAGAGGUUAAAUAACGUGCCCAUGAUCACAUAGCUAGCUGGUGACAGAGUCGAGCUUUGAACCAGAGUCUGUGCCCAUAGCAGCUAACCUAUGUGCUUUAUUCAUACAUCUACUUACCUGUAACUUAUUUAGUCUCAUAAGAACCCUGAAAAGUAGAUGCUAUUCUUAUCCCUAUCUUACAGAUGAGGGCACUGAAGCAGAGGCAGGUUAAGGAAUUGUUCAUGGUCUCCCAGUUAGUGAGUAGCAUUCCUGAGACUGGCAUUCAAGACAUCUGGCCUUGGCUGGGCACAGUGACUCACGCCUGUAAUCCCAGCACUUUGGGAUCCUGAGGUGGAAGGUCGCUUGAGGCCAGGAGCUUGAGACCAGCUUGGACAACAUAGUGGACUGUGUCUCAAACAAAACAAAGCAAAAACGAAGUCUGGCCUUGGGGUUCAGGCUCUACGCUACUGUGCUACAUGACCCUGCAGGCAUAGGCUCAAGAAAUCCUUGUUGAAUUGGAAAUGAGCAAAAAUCAUCAGAAAGUUUUGCUAGGAGAGACAGAGCUUUUGGGUAAACUUUCUGAGUAAUCUUUAUCCAGUCAACUUGCUUCCCUGAUCUCAAAUUUUUCCUCCAGAAAAUGAGGGGAUUUAAGUUCAUGUCAGUUAAGUUUAGAUUCAGUUACAAGUAAGAGACAAGCCAAAAUAACAGUUGAUUAAACAAGAUAGUUGCUUGUUACUCUUUCAUGUGAAAACAUGUCCAGAGAAAUUCAGGUCAGUUCUAGUGUGGGAGUGCUUCACUGGGGAUCAGUCAUUAGGAUCCGACAUAUAGGUAUGUGACUUCCACCUGCAAGGCCUCCUCAUGGUUCCACAUGUUGGCUGGAGCUCCAGCCAUCACAUACAAGUUGCAGGUUGGUCAAAGGAGGAAAAACAGAAGGGCUAUAGAAAGGCAGUCCACACAGGUGAUUGAGCUGCCUCCACCCAGCCUUUCCAGAAGGCCCACGUGGUCUUAACACUUCUCUUCUUUUGCUAAAACUCAGUCAUAUGCUCCCACCCAGCUAGAAAGGAGGUUUAGACAUAGAGCUCUUUAUUCCAGGCAGCAAGUGCUCAGCUGAAACUUGAGGUACUGAUAGAAAGAAGGGGAGACUGGGUUUUGGAAUAGUCAGCCAGCAGUCUGUCACAGGGCUAGUGCCCCUUCUGCUCUAGGGUUUCCUUGACUCUCUCUGCUGCACCCUGCUGGGGCCGCUUCUGCUGCCCCUAAAGGUGCCAGAAAAGGUGCUGGGGGCUAAACUGUGAUUCCCUGAACCUGGACAUGGCCGUGGGGCUCCAAUGACUCCCUGACUGUGCUCCUUAGAGCUCUGCAGACA